rnacentral:lncRNA from 1 species
AUGAAACCAAACUGGGUGGACAAGGCAGUUGCGACAUCUCUUAAGAAGUGGGAACUGCAACUGGAGGUGCUCCUUAUCCUGUUUAACAUUGACUUAGCAAGUGUCCUGUUCUCAUUUGAACUGGCCUUCCAUCAGCUUCAAGGACAGAUGCGUGUGGAUUUGGUAGCUCACAGAUCCUACUCUUUCGCUGCUGUGGUAUUGUUCUGCUCUGUGUAUUAUUUUGUCCUCAGUAAUUUUGCAGCUCUGCUUGUUCCUUUUGAGGCAAUUCCGUGGUCUCGAGCACCCUUUUGUUCAGUGAUGUGCAUGCGUGACCAACCAGUGAUACAUCAAGCAUGGUGGGAGCAGCAUCCAGUUCAGUCAAUCUCAGAUGAAGUUUGUCCUCCUCAGCCAGUUUCUGCCUCCUCAUCACUGUUUCAGCCGGAGGAUGCGAUGUUCUCAAGCCUGCAUGGUAUUGCCACUGGUGUGAUCAUCCUUCAACUCAUUUCUCUCAAAAUGAGCCUGCUUAUUUUAAGCAAUUUAAGGUGA